rnacentral:rRNA from 1 species
UACGGAGGGUGCAAGCGUUAUCCGGAUUCACUGGGUUUAAAGGGUGCGUAGGUGGGCAGUUAAGUCAGUGGUGAAAUCUCCGGGCUUAACCCGGAAACUGCCAUUGAUACUAUCUGUCUUGAAUAUCGUGGAGGUAAGCGGAAUAUGUCAUGUAGCGGUGAAAUGCUUAGAUAUGACAUAGAACACCAAUUGCGAAGGCAGCUUGCUAACCGAAUAUUGACACUGAGGCACGAAAGCGUGGGGGAUCAAACAGG